CUUUAUUUUUUUCAUUUCCUUUUUAAAUAUGUAAAUUUUCUUGUUUGUUAUUAAAAAAAAAAAGAAAAGUAAUCAUGUCCGAAAAUUUAAUUGAGUAUUCAUUCUAGCUGGCCUAAGUUAUGGCAAUUUAUUUAUAUUUGUUGAAAACCUCAUUCAUCACAUAUGUAUCCAUAGUAAUUUCUACAAUUUCCGCUGUACAGCGGUCGUAGACUCGUAGACUCGUAGACUCGUAGACUCGUAGACUUGUAGACUCGUAGACUCGUAGACUCGUAGACUCGUAGUAUCACAGGAUGUCCUAGUUAUGGCCAUGAAGCUGAAUCCUUGCUGACCAACUCAUCACAAGGAAACCAAUAUUUCCAGAAAAGAUCUAAAUUCGCCGUAAAAAGGAUACUUCAAGAACUUCUUGUGCAGUGAAAAAUUAAUAAGUGAAAAAUUUGAAUAAAGUGUACGGAGGCCUCCUCACUUCAAUACACCAG